rnacentral:rRNA from 1 species
UGCCAGCCGCCGCGGUAAGACGAGAGGCCCGAGCGUUAAUCGGAAUCACUGGGCUUAAAGGGUGCGCAGGCGGACUCACAAGCAUCGCGUGAAAUCCCACGGCUCAACCGUGGAACAGCGUGGUGAACUGUGAGUCUUGAGGCAGAUAGAGGUCGUCGGAACGUUCGGUGGAGCGGUGAAAUGCGUAGAUAUCGAACGGAACGCCAAAGGAGAAGUCAGACGACUGGGUCUGUCCUGACGCUCAGGCACGAAAGCGUGGGGAUCAAACAGGAUUAGAUA